UUCGACAGGUCGAUUUUAGGUGUGGAAACUCAAGUUUCUGACACGAGCUUGAACUGAUGCAGCAUUGGAAAGGCCUGAUCUGGGCAUUUGGGCCCAAGUACAAUCACAGACUCGCUGUGUGACCCUGGGCAAGGAGCUUAGCUUCGCUGAGUCUCAGCUUCUGCAUCUGUACAAUGGACACGACAAUGUCCACUUUCCAGCGUCGUUGGGAGGAUUAAGCGUGAGCUGGCCUGGGAAGGAAUUCCGUAAACUACAACCGCUGAUGGAGGGUAUCGUGAUGGGUUGAAUGGUGGCACCGCAAAAGAUACAGCCACAUCCUAAUUCCUGAACCUGUGACUCUGACCUUAUUUGAGAAAAGGGUCUGCAAAGGUGUGAUUACGUUAAGGGUCGUGAGAUAAGAGAUCCUGGAUUUUCUAGAUGGGCACUAAUUCAAUGGUGAGCAUCCUUAUAGGAGACACAUGGGGAGAGCUGGCAGCAGACGAGGAGGAGGCGACACUGGGGCAGAGACUGGAGUGACACAGCCCCCAGCCAAGGAACUCUCGGAGCCACCAGGAGACGGGAGAGGCAUGGAGCAGAAGCUCCCCUGGCACCUUCAGAGAGAGUGUGGUCCUGCCGACGCCUUGAUUUCGGAUUUCUGGUCUCUGGAACUCUGGGAGAAUACAUUUCCGUCAUUUUAGGCCAUCCAGUUUGUGCUGAUUUGUUAUGGCAGCCACAAGAAACUAAUGUGGGUAAUAUAUACAUGUGGUUCAAAUGUCAAAACAGUAUAAAAUGUCAAUAUUGAGAAGUCUUGCUUUUAUUAGGUUCUUUUGUAUUUUUUCAGGGUUUCUUUAUACAGAUAUAAGAAAAUAUGAAAGGGGAAUACAUUUCGAUUCACCUGCCCCCUUUAAGAGUGACCUUUUAAAAUGUAUAUCUGUGGCGCUCACUGCACUUAGCUGCAGUGGCCCCCACGGCCCCACUCGGCCUGGCGCCUGUGCCCCUCAACCUCGUCUCAUGCCCCCUCCUCUGCUCCAGGCUGCAGCCCCCCUGGUCUCCUGGCAUGACGAUCGCAUGCUCCUUCUGCCUCCGGGUCUUCAUACCCAUCCUUGCUCCUGCCUGACCCCAAGACCCUUCAGUCCCCACUGUCUUCCUGUCAUCAGAUCUCUACCCCAAUGUCACAGAAACCCUC
rnacentral:lncRNA from 1 species